AAAAAGAUAGGGAGAAAGGAGUAAGAAAAGAAAUUAAUGUGGAGGAAGAGAAGGAUCCGUGGUGACUCGUGGUGACGAUCAGUGAUAGAAGGGAGGAAGGGUAGUGCUUAUAGUGGCUAAAAUGUGUGUCGAUGGUGGUACAAGGGUCGGUUGUGGUAGAGGAAAAGCAAAGACUAAAGAAAAGGGGUGGUGGUUCUUUUUCUAAAGUUGAGAGAAAAUAGAGGUGAAAGAAAUGAAAAAAAUGGGAAUAUGGGAGAAUAAAGGAGGUAGGCAUGGCAAAGGGAGUGGUAAGCUUGGUCAACUGUGACUAGGCUCAUUGAAUCAUAAUAAAUAAGCAAGAUAUAAAGUUUUGG
rnacentral:lncRNA from 1 species